rnacentral:piRNA from 1 species
UGUACACACCCAGGGAUGUCCCACCUGGA